CAUAUGGGCAGUUGCCCGGGCAACGUACCUGAGCAACCCCCCUGUGCACGUCCCUGAGCAUAACAGAGUUUACCGAGGCCUUGCCCACACUAAGACGUUUUCCUUUGAAAAUGCAUAUUUUUCUCUCUAUUUUGACCUUCCGUCCACACUGAGACGGCAUUUAUGUCAAUGAAGACGGAGCUUUUUGAAAACGCUCUCCCAAGUGGAUAAAUUCGCUUUGUAUUGUGGACUGUGAAAAUGGAGGGACACAACAAAAAUGGGAGCAUCCUCUGAUGAAUGUGGGCCCGUCACUUUUUCAUUCAGCCUCAGUUUGCUGUGUACAGCAAAACAACACAUCUCUAACCUAAAUUGUGAAAUCCAGGUGCCUAAGGUGGGACUUGUUUACCAAGGCUUCCUGGAUUUGCAGCUCUAAAGCUGGAUGCUACUAUCAUCCACCUGGAUGGGGCAGGGGGUAACCCGGUCAGAAAGCGAGAGAGAGAAUCAAAACAGGCAAGUCCUACUUAUGUUAUUUAAUUUGUGGCAGCUUGUGAUAGCCAGCUUUAUGGAUGGCUCUCACUAUAGGAGGGUAGUUUAGGAUUAUGACAGA